GUUGCCACAAGUCCUCCUGUUCUUUUUGCGAAUACAGACUAACACGGCUGCUGCUCUGAAACCUUUCCAUAAGCACUUAGUUUCUAUCAGUGACAUAACAGAAGCAUCCCUAUAAAUUGGCAUCAGUCCUGUGAGAGCUCCAGUAGCCUGGCCGGAGGGCACAGCAGCUGGAAGGCGCUCCAGAGGCUGCAGGAGGAGCAAACGUUCGUUCUCCAGGCACAGAGAUAACCAGCAGUUGCCUGAAUACUUGUAACGAGUGAUAUAACUUCAUGAAUUCUAACCAGUUGAAGUUGGUGCUUUUAGUCAAAGCUCUGAAAUACCCCGGACCCAGUUAUCUUGGAGACCAGCCUCUUUAACAGUGGUGACCAAGUAUCAGAGACUGUCUGGUCUGGCCAAUGUACAUGGCAGAGGGACCAUGCCACAGUGUUCACCAGAGUUCAAAGCAGUUUCACUUUCUUCAUCUUUUGUCAUCACUUUGUACCAGACAAGCCAGAAGAGAGAACUCUGUUUACAGCACUCCCCUCACUGAGACCAAGUGCACAAAACCAAAGAUGACUCCAUUACAACAUAAAUGUGGAAUGCUGUUAAUUGUGUAACUAGAAACGCUCCUCUAAGGCAGAGAGGUGUCAAAUAACUCCUGGAGACCCAAGCUUUCUAUUUAAAUAAAAAGCAAAUCUCUAGCCCUUUGCCAUGCAGAGAAACCUCAGAAUGUUCUUCUGUUUAUGUUCCAUCAAAACUGAAGCAAAUCAGAGAAGCCCUUGAAGCUAAGAGGUCACCAUAGUUAGAAUAGAAAUUUGUUCAAAUACUUUUUUUGGGGGGAGGGCAGAUCCUAGCUGGAGAACAGAGAGAGGAAGAUAUUUAAAAGUUCAUUUUCCCAUCCCACCGCCUGAUCUUCCUCACCUCCACUCUCAUCCCCUCCAUUCUGAGAGCAGACUGCGCCAUCUGGUAUAGUUGAGCUGAUUUUAACCUUAAAAACAAUGAGGAGAUGCAUCUGAAGAAGUGGGCUUUUUUACUCAUGAAAGCUUAUGCCCAAAUAAAUCUGUUAGUCUUUAAGGUACCACCGGACUCCUGGUUGUUUUUGUGGAUACAGACUAACAUGGCUACCCCCGAUACUUGAUUUUAACCUUGACUCUUCUAAGCUCUAAAAUCUGCACAGCUACACAGAUUGCCUUGAAAUAUGGUGUGCCUCAUGGGAUUGUGGGGUAGGGGCAGUGGUCCGAAUUUGGGGUCAUUUGACCUAGAGGUUCAAGAGAUACAGCUCCCUGAAAAAACUUCUAGACAGCUGUUAAGAAAGCCAUAUUUGAAAUGGGAAAAAUACAUUACACAUAAUGUAAUAUGUGUGCAAUAAACAUGGCUAAUAAGUAAAGUUCAGUUCAACCUAUCAGGAUAUGAUGUACUCCGGAGAG